rnacentral:rRNA from 1 species
UAGGGAAUCUUCCACAAUGGACGCAAGUCUGAUGGAGCAACGCCGCGUGAGUGAAGAAGGCUUUCGGGUCGUAAAACUCUGUUAUUGAAGAAGAACGUGCGUGACAGUAACUGGUCAUGCAGUGACGGUAUUCAAUCAGAAAGUCACGGCUAACUACGUGCCAGCAGCCGCGGUAAUACGUAGGUGGCAAGCGUUGUCCGGAUUUAUUGGGCGUAAAGCGAGUGCAGGCGGUCUUUUAAGUCUGAUGUGAAAGCCUUCGGCUUAACCGAAGAAGGGCAUCGGAAACUGGGAGACUUGAGUGCAGAAGAGGAGAGUGGAACUCCAUGUGUAGCGGUGAAAUGCGUAGAUAUAUGGAAGAACACCAGUGGCGAAGGCGGCUCUCUGGUCUGUAACUGACGCUGAGGCUCGAAAGCGUGGGUAGCAAACAGGAUUAGAUACCCUGGUAGUCCACGCC